CACAGAGUUAGCCGGGGCUUCCUCUGCGGGUACAAUCAAGUCCCCGACGUAUGAGGUCGAGUCCCUUUUUCCCCGCUGACAGGAGUUUACAAUCCAAGGACCUUCAUCCUCCACGCGGCGUUGCUGCGUCAGGCGUUAGCCCAUUGCGCAAAAUUCCCCA
rnacentral:rRNA from 1 species